rnacentral:rRNA from 1 species
AUUAAGGUCCUCUGGAUUGUAAACUUCUUUUAUAUGGGACGAAAACAGAUCUUUCUAGAUCCUUUGACGGUACCAUAUGAAUAAGCACCGGCUAACUCCGUGCCAGCAGCCGCGGUAAUACGGAGGGUGCAAGCGUUAUCCGGAUUCACUGGGUUUAAAGGGUGCGUAGGCGGGCAGGUAAGUCAGUGGUGAAAUCCUGGAGCUCAACUCCAGAACUGCCAUUGAUACUAUCUGUCUUGAAUAUUGUGGAGGUAAGCGGAAUAUGUCAUGUAGCGGUGAAAUGCUUAGAUAUGACAUAGAACACCCAUUGCGAAGGCAGCUUACUACGCAUAUAUUGACGC